rnacentral:rRNA from 1 species
AUUGAACGCUGGCGGCAGGCCUAACACAUGCAAGUCGAACGGUAACAGGAAGAAGCUUGCUUCUUUGCUGACGAGUGGCGGACGGGUGAGUAAUGUCUGGGAAACUGCCUGGUGGAGGGGGAUAACUACUGGAAACGGUAGCUAAUACCGCAUAACGUCGCAAGACCAAAGAGGGGGACCUUCGGGCCUCUUGCCAUCGGAUGUGCCCAGAUGGGAUUAGCUAGUAGGUGGGGUAACGGCUCACCUAGGCGACGAUCCCUAGCUGGUCUGAGAGGAUGACCAGCCACACUGGAACUGAGACACGGUCCAGACUCCUACGGGAGGCAGCAGUGGGGAAUAUUGCACAAUGGGCGCAAGCCUGAUGCAGCCAUGCCGCGUGUAUGAAGAAGGCCUUCGGGUUGUAAAGUACUUUCAGCGGGGAGGAAGGGAGUAAAGUUAAUACCUUUACUCAUUGACGUUACCCGCAGAAGAAGCACCGGCUAACUCCGUG